AUUGAACGCUGGCGGAAUGCUUUACACAUGCAAGUCGAACGGCAGCACGGGUGCUUGCACCUGGUGGCGAGUGGCGAACGGGUGAGUAAUAUAUCGGAACGUACCCAGUAAUGGGGGAUAACUAACCGAAAGGUUAGCUAAUACCGCAUACGCCCUGAGGGGGUAAGCGGGGGAUCGAAAGACCUCGCGUUAUUGGAGCGGCCGAUAUCUGAUUAGCUAGUUGGUGGGGUAAAGGCCCACCAAGGCGACGAUCAGUAGCUGGUCUGAGAGGAUGAUCAGCCACACUGGAACUGAGACACGGUCCAGACUCCUACGGGAGGCAGCAGUGGGGAAUUUCGGACAAUGGGCGAAAGCCUGAUCCAGCCAUUCCGCGUGAGUGAAGAAGGCCUUCGGGUUGUAAAGCUCUUUCGGCAGGGAAGAAACGGUCUAGGUUAAUACCUUGGGCUAAUGACGGUACCUGAAGAAGAAGCACCGGCUAACUACGUGCCAGCAGCCGCAGUAA
rnacentral:rRNA from 1 species